GUAGGUGAACCUGCGGAAGGAUCAUUAUUGAAUACGUUUGGUUCUGAUGCUGGCCCCGUAACACGGGCAUGUGCUCGUCCAUCCUAUUUAUCUUCUCUUGUGCACCUUUUGUAGUUUUUGAAAGGAAGUGAACCUCUCGCAGCAAUGCGGUUUGGGGGAGUGGGCGCAAGCCCUUCCUCUGCUUGCUUUCAUUCAAAGGCUAUGUUUUCAUAUACACUAUAAAGUUACAGAAUGUCUUUUAAAGAUUGUG
rnacentral:misc_RNA from 1 species